UCAAAUGCAGAUAUAAACGAGGAAUCCUGGAUUCUUGAAUGAUCCUGUGGAGCACAGCAGACCUCAGGGUGAAGAGUUCACUUAACUCAACACUGUUAAGUGAGAAUUAAGUAAACUUAUGCUGUGUUUGGCUAAGGAAUAAACCAGUGAGAUCCAGCUGAACUAUUCAAAUGACACUGAAGGACUGAAGAUUCUCAAGGAUGCAGGGUUUUGAAGAUGUUCACAAAUCAAUAUAAAGAAAUAGAGAUGAGAAGGCGGAACAAGAUGGCUGAAUAGAAGCCUCCAGCGAUUGUCCCUCCCACGAAACACCAAACAGAACAUCUAUCCACAGAAAAAAAGCAUGUUCAUAAGAACCAAAAAUCAGACGCUGAUGAACACCCACAAGCAUCAAGGCCAUCCGGGGAAACAUGAUGUCACCAAUGAACUAAAUAAGGCACCACGGACCAGUCCUAGAGAGACACAGAUAUAUUACCUUUUAGACUGAGAGUUCAAAAUAGCUGUUUUGAGGAAGCUCAACAAAAUCCAAGAUAACACAGAGAAGGAAAUUUAACAAAGAGAUUGAAAUAAAAAGAAUCAGCAGAAAUUCUGGAGCUGAAAAAUGUGAUUGACAUACUGAAGAAUGUAUCAGAGUCUCUUAACAGCAGAAUUGAUCAAGCAGAAGAAAGAAUUAGUGAGCUUGAAGACAGGUUAUUUGAAAACACACAGUCAGAGGAGACAAAAUAAAAAAGAAUAUAAAAGAAUGAAGCACACCAACAAGAUCUAGAAAAUAGCUUCAAAAAGGCAAAUCUAAGAGUUAUUGGCCUUAAAGAGGAGGUAGAGAGGGAGAUGGGGGUAGAAAGUUUAUUCAAAUGGAUAAUAAUAGAGAACUCCCCAAAUCUAGAGAAACAUAUCAACAUAGUACAAGAAGGUUAUAGAGCACCAAUUUAACUCAAAUAAGACUACCUCAAGGCAUUCAAUAAUCAACUCCCACAGGUGAAGGAUAUAGAAAUGAUCCUAAAAGCAGCAAAAGAAGCAAAUAACAUACAAAGGAGCUCCAAUUCGUCUGGCAGGAAACUUCUCAGUGGAAAUCUUACAGACCAGGAGAGAGUGGCAAGAUUUAAAGUGCUGAAGGAAAAAAAUUUUAUCCUAGAAUAGCAUAUCUAGUGAAAAUAUUCUACAAACAUGAAGGAGAAAUAAAGGCUUUCCCAGACACCCCCCGCCAAAAAAAAAGAUUUUAUUAACACCAGACCUGUUCUACAAGAAAUGCUAAAGGGAUUUCUUCAAUCUGAAAGAAAAGGAUGCUAAUGAGCAAUAAGAAAUCAUUUGAAGGUACAAAACUCACUGGUAAUAGUAAGUACACAGAAAUACACAGAAUAUUAUAACACUAAUUGUGGUGUGCAAACUACUCAUAUAUUGAGUAGAAAGACUAAAAGAUGAACCUCUCAAAGAAUCAUAACUACAACAACUUUUCCAGACAUAGAGAGUAUAAGAAGAUAUAAAUAGAAACAAGAAACAAGUAAAAGUCAAAAAGCAGAGGGAUAAAGUUAAAGUGCAGAGUUUGUAUUAGUUUUCUCUGCUUGUUUAUUAGUUUGUUUAUGCAAUUAAUGUUAAGUUGUCAUCAGUUUAAAAUAAUGGAUUAUAAGAUAUCAUUUGCAAGCUUCAUGGUAACCUCAAAUCAAAAAACAUACAACAGAUACACAAAAAGUAACCUUCCACCUAAGAAAAUCACCUUCACUGAAAGGACGACAGGAAGGAAGGAAAGAAGGAAGAGAAGACCACAAAACCAGAAAACAAAUAACAGAAUGGCAGAAGUAAGCCCUUACUUAUCAAUAAUAACAUUGAAUGUAGAUGAAAUAAACUCUCCAAUCAAAAGACAGAGUGAGCCAGGCACAGUGGCUCAUAUGUGUAAUCCCAGCACUUUGGGAGGCGGAGGUAGGAGGAUCUCUUGAGUCCAGGAGUUUGAGACCAGCCAAGGCAAUAUAGGAAGACCCAAUCUUUCCAAAAAGGAAUUAGCCAAGCAUGGUGGCAUGCACCUGUGGUCCCAGCUACACAGGAGGCUGAGGUGGGAGAAUCACUUGAGCCAGGGAGUUUGAGGCUGCAGUGAGCCAUGAUUGCACCACUGCACUGCAACCUGGGCAACAGAGGGAGAUCUUGUCUCAAAAAAUAAAAAAAGACAUAGACUGGCUAUAUAUGCCAAUCAGUUGGGAAAUCCGGAAGAAAUGAAUAAAUUCUUAGACACAUAUAAUUUAUCAGGAUCGAACCAUGAAGAAAUCCAAAACCUGAACAGACAACGUGUAACAAGACUGAGGCCAUAAUAAAAAGUCUUUCAGCAAAGAAAAGCUCAGCACCCAGUGGCUUCACUGUUGAAUCUUACCAAACAUUUACAGAAGAACUAACACCAAUCCUACUCAACCUAUUCUGAAAACUAGAGGAGGAAAGAAUACUUCUGAACUCAUUCUAUGUGGCCAGUAUUACCUUGAUACAAAAACCAGACAAAGACAUGUCAAAAGAGAGAAAGAAACAAGAAAGAAAGAAAGGAAGAAAGAAAGAAAGAAAGAAAGAAAGAAAGAAAGAAAGAAAGAAAGAAAGAAAGAAAGAAAGAAAGAGAAAGAAAACUACAGGCCAAUAUCCCCCUGAUGAACACUGAUGCAAAAAUCCUCCACAAAAUACUAGCAAACUGAAAUCUACAACAAAUUUAAAAGAUCAUUCUUCAUGAUCAAGUGGCAUUUAUCCUAAGGAUGAUUCAAUAAAUGCAAAUCAAUUUAUGUGACACAUAACAUCAACAGAAUGAAGGACAAAAGCCAUAUGAUGCUGAAAAAGCACUUGACAAAAUUCAAGAUCCCUUCCUUCAUGAUAAAAAUCAAAAUCCUUAAAAAUCUGGGUACACUAAGAGUUUGAGACCAGCCUGGGCAACAUGGCGAAACCAUGUCUCUACAAAAAAAGAAAAAAAAAAUUAGCCAGGCAUGUGGGCAUGUGCCUGUACUUCCAGCUACUCAGGAGGCUGAGGUGGGAGAAUCCCUUGAGCCUGGGAAGUGGAGGUUGCAGUGAGCCGAGAUUGCACCACAGCACUCCAGCCUGGGUGACAGAGUGAGACCCUGUCUCAAAAACAAACAAACAAAAAUACAAAAAAAACUGGGUACAGAAGGAACGUACCUCAACACAAUAAAAGCCAUCUACAGCAGACACACAGCUAGUAUCAUGUUGAAUUGGGAAAAACUGAAAGCCUUUCCUCUAAGAUUUGGAACGUGAAAAGGAUGGCUACUUUCACCACUGUUACUCAACAUAGUACUGGAUGUCCUAGCUAGAGCAAUCAAACAAGAGAAAGAAAUAAAAGGAAUCCAAAUUAGAAAGAAAGAAGUCAAAUUAUCUUUGUUUGCAGAUAAUAUGCUUUUAUAUUUGGAAAAACCUAAAGACUCCAUCAAAAAACUAUUGGAACUGAUAAACAUGAAUUCAAUAAAGUUGCAGGAUACAAAAUCAACAUACAAAAAUCAGUAGCAUUUCUAUAUGUCAACAGUGAACAAUCUGAAAAAUAAAACAAAAAA